UGCCUGCCCAGUGCGAAACCCCUCUCAACGGCCGCGGUAUUUUGACCGUGCUAAGGUAGCGUAAUCAUUUGUCUUUUAAUGAAGACCUGUAUGAACGGCUCCACGAAGGCUUAACUGUCUCCUUUUUCAAGUCAAUGAAAUUGAUCUCCCCGUGCAAAAGCGGGGAUACACCCAUAAGACGAGAAGACCCUAUGGAGCUUUAGAUGUUACAACAAGCAUUAUGUGCUAUUCCCAAACAAAGGGGAUAACCACUAGCCCCUGCCCAAACAUCUUCGGAUGGGGUGACCAUGGGAAACAAGAAACUCCCACGUCUCUGUAUUGGAAUCUCCUUAUUUAAACCCAAACAAACUUCUUCAAACGAGAGCCACCACUCUAAUUCAACAGAAUUUCUGACCACCGAUCCGGCAACGCCGAUUAACGAACCAAGUUACCCUAGGGAUAACAGCGCAAAUCCCCUUUCAGAGCCCAUAUCGAUAAGGGGGCUUACGACCUCGAUGUUG
rnacentral:rRNA from 1 species